GGGCCUCUGACUUCUUCUCUCCCUCACAGGCCCAACAGGUGUAGCUAUUCUCAAUAUAACCACUAUCCAUUCUAGCGCUUCCGAAAUCUUCGUAAACUCCUUCGCCGCUGCCGUCGUCUUCUCGAAGGGUUCAAUACUUCUUUACAAUCAGAAGAACUCAAGGCUACUGCUGGUUGCUGCAGUGCUGCUCAAGAGCCGAGAGACGAGGCUACUGCUCAAGACGCAAAGGCCAAAGCCAAACUGCUGCUCUCAAGAACAGGGAAGUGGAGUUGAUGGUUUAAUUUUUGUCUUGGCAUAGACUAUAGUGUAAUUACACAAUUUUAGACAUUAAUACGUCAAGUUUCCUUCAUUGACCAAAUUGGACUAAAAUGAGCACCAAGGAACCAACGACAUGCCUAUCUGAAGUUGGAAGCUCAAAUCAGUUAGAGACGAACAAUUCAAAUUAUGUCUCUCAUGUCAAGAAGCUACUUCAUCGACGAAUGCUGGUUGGUAUAAGUGAUGGAAGGUUCUUUCUAGGUACAUUUUAUUGUAUUGAUAAGCAAGGAAACAUAAUUCUUCAAGAUGCGGUUGAGUACCGUAGCACCAGAAGAUCUGCUCCUUCUCCGAUGGAACAACGAGUUCUUGGUAUCAUUUUAAUCCCUUCGUCGUGUCGGAAAACAUGUCAUGUGGAUUCUUCUAUUGAAGAACAGUUGUCCCUAACGUCGCUUGAGGAGCAAAACUCAUAAUUAUAUUACUGGCGAUUAACUUGAUCUAAGUUGAUCCAUUGGAUUUAUCUUCCCUGUUUGAUUUAUCCUGACAAUUUUGACUAUGCUGUUUUCAAGUGUAAAAAUUUACUGGUGUUAUAGUAUAUGUUUAUUUUUCAA